rnacentral:tRNA from 1 species
UCCCUUAUGGCUCAGCUGUAAAGAAUCCACCUGUAAUGUGGGAGACUCUGGGUUCAAUUCCCGGGUUGGGAA